GUCGAAUUGACAGAUGCAACAAAUUUGCUGUCAUGCUGACAGACGACGAAGUGCAUCACGAAUGUAGUGCGAGGGAACUGUCAGACAACAUAAGUAAACAAACAACAUAAGAAGGAAAGUAGGAUAGAAAAACACCAUUUUGAAAGUGAUAGUAGUAGAAUAGUAAAAUACGUUGGAAUAAGAAAUUAGAAGUUGUGAGCAAGGAAAUUAUUCGGAUAGUGGAUAGAUUAAAGAUUAAGCUGUACUAAGAUCCAGAAUACGUAAGUUUGUGAAACAAUAUAAAGCAGUGAAUUAAAGUAACAAAUUUAUGACUAGAUACGCGGAGGCAAACACUGGACAAAUACGAACGGUACAGUUGAGAUUAUCAAUUCCGAGAUAAAACGAAGUAAGUGAACGUACAAAUUAAUUACUAAAACCGAUAAAAUGAAAAAUGUGAAUAUUAAAUUGUAGAUAAAUUGCGAUAGACAGCGAUAGAGGAAGGAAAAGAGGAAGCUGUAAAGUAAGGAGAACAAACAAUUUUUGAUCUGCACAGAAAAAAAUGGCGGAUUUUCAAAAAUCUUGUUUUCGCCUGCCGUCCGAACAAAAUCAAAAAUUGUUUCUCGGAUAGUGUGCAGGAUGGCUUCUUCUCCUUCGAAGCAAGAAAAGUGUCUGUACUGCAAACUAGCGGAAUCCGAUGACAUCGAUUGGGUUCAAUGCGAAGAAUGUCAGUAUUGGGCUCAUUUCUCGUGCGCAGGUGUUAACCAAGAAGUGGCGAACGUUAGUUGGCGUUGUCCGCGAUGCUCUCCGCAAAGCGCCCGGCGUCUUAAAGUUCCAGAGACUACGGCUAAGAAUCGCGGGAAGAAGUCCGCCCCGAAUAGCGAUGCAGGGUCCGAUCGUGGAGCUGGUUCCGUCUUAGACCUGACUGAGCAGCAGUUGGAAGAGGAACAGCUAGCAAUGGAGAUGGCCUUUGCAAAGCAGAUCGAGUUGCGGAAACAGCGUCUUGCUAAGCAGCAGGCUUGGAACGAGAGGCGGAUGAAGCUAGAGUGGGAGAUGCGCGAGCAGGAGCUACGAGCGCAGCGUGAAAUGGAGCAGCGGCAGCUAGAGCAUGAGCAGAAAAUGCUUGACUGCCAAUUGGCCGCAGAACGUGAAUUCUCGAAGAAGCGGGAUGCUAUUCGGAAACAGUUCGACGACAGCAUUAAUAAGGUCAACGCAUUGAAGGGCCAAUAUGGAGCUGUCAGCGGUGCUUCUGCCUCCAAACCGGAACAGAAGGUGGAUGACUGGAUGCUGGAUUAUCGCGGAGCAUAUCCAAAGCCAGGAUAUCUGCAGACGGAAGAUAAACUCGCGUGUCCGAAGAAGGUGCCGUUAGAUAAGUCGUUCACCAUCGAAGCCAGCCAAUUCGAGCGAAGUAACGAAGAUGUGAGUGACGGUGAAGUUUCGGAGGUCGCGCCGAGUAGAUGCAGUCGAAGCAGCUUUCAAAGGUGCGGAGAUGGAAACGGGUCGGGGUGUAUCGUGGGUCGUAUUACAAGAGAUCAGCUAGCUGCUCGCAAAGCGGUCUCUCAGAACCUUCCCAAAUUUAAAGGGGAAGCAGAAGUUUGGCCGUUGUUUAUCAGCAGUUUCGAGUACACGACUGCAGCUUGCGGAUUCUCAAACCUCGAGAAUUUGAAGCGUUUGCAGGACUGUCUACAGGGUGACGCACUUGAGGCGGUCAGGAGUCGGCUAGUGCUACCGGACUUGUUAGUUUUAGACAAAGUACUAGUAUAGUUAAAAUUAGUCUUAAGGAUUUUUGUAACGUGCUAUGUAAAAAAAAAGAAACUGGCGUAAAAAGCUUUUGCAAAUGCCGUGUCAAAUAAACGUAUGGAACUAAGUGCUACCGGACUCUGUUCCGGAUGUGAUCAGGGAUCUUCGAAAUCUGUUCGGAAAACCGGAGAAGCUGCUCAGAACGUUGCUGUCGAAGGUGAGGAACGCGCCGUCACCGAGAGCUGAUCGAUUGGAGACGUUCAUCAGCUUCGGGAUAACGGUGAAGCAGUUAUGCGACCACCUUGAAGCGUCAGGACUUUGUGACCACCUAAACAAUCCGAUGCUGGUGCAGGAGUUAGUUGACAAGUUGCCACCGAGCUACAAACUGGAUUGGGUCCGGUAUAAGCGAGGGAAGGUGGACAGUCCGUUGCGAAUGUUCACGAACUUCACAAAUGACAUCGUUUCGGAUGUGUCGGAGGUGACGGAGUUCUCGACAUUGUCGCUAAGCGAGCGCGAGCCUUCGCGAAUGGGGAAAGGAAAUUCCCGAAAGAAGGAGUUUGUACAUCUCCAUGACGCGGACCAGGUUUCUAAUGAAAUUCAAAGAGAGACAGUAACUAAGCCGUGCUGGAUCUGUAAACGAACGGAUCAUCUCAUCAGGUGCUGUGAGGAGUUUAAGCGGAUGAACAUUGCCGCCAGGUUGAGAGAAGUUGAGCGACAAAACCUGUGUGGUCUUUGUUUGAACAAGCACGGAAACAGCAGAUGCACCUCGAAGAUUCGAUGCUUCAUGCAAAAUUGUCGUGGAGGCCAUCAUCCACUUUUGCAUCGAGUGGAGGAAUCGGUGCGGCUGCAGAAGGUAGAAUGCAAUGCUACCGAAAAGGCAGAUAGUGCGGUUAUUUUCCGUAUGAUGCCGGUGACGCUUUACGUGGGCAAACGACAGUUCGAUACUACUGCGUUCUUCGACGAAGGGUCGUCGGCUACGUUGGUAGAUGAUCUGGUGGCCAGGCGGCUGAAAGCAGAGGGUACUCUAGAGCCGUUGAUAGUGACGUGGACGGGCAAUAUCAACCGCUUUGAGAACGAUUCGAGGAAGGUCGAACUGAUGAUGUCGGCGAAGGGUUCGAAGGAGAAGUUUCCGCUGUUCAACACUCGAACGGUAUCAGAGUUGGUGCUGCCGAAGCAGAACGUGCGAUUCGCAGAUGUGGUAAAAAAAUAUUCCCAUCUUGCAGGCGUUCCGGUGAGAGAUUACCCAUCGGGAAAGCCGAGAAUCCUACUCGGGCUAGACAACGUCCACUUAUUUGCGCCGUUGGAGUCGCGGGUCGGUAAGCCAAACGAACCGAUUGCCGUGCGGUCGAAGAUUGGCUGGAUAGUGUAUGGUUCGGAGAACCGAAGACCGAGUGCGUACACCUACCUGAAUCUGCACUCGAUCGUUCCAGCAAGCAAUCAAGGUCUCCAUGACAUGAUGCGAGAGCAAUACAUGCUAGAUGAGACAGCGAUUGCGACGUUCGCUGUACCGGAGCCCGUGGAGGAGAAAAGAGCUCGAGAGAUGCUUGAGACAACGACGAAGCGAGUGGGUGAUCGCUUCGAAACGGGGUUGCUGUGGCGUGAGGACGCACGACGAUUCCCUGACAGCUAUCCGAUAGCUGUACGCCGGAUGAAGGCUCUGGACCGUAUGCUGAACAGGAAUUCAGACUUGAAGAAAAACGUGUGCCAGCAGAUCGAGGACUAUCAAGUCAAACACUACGCGCACAAGGCGAGUGAAGCCGAACUGAAGGGUACGCCACAAACCGCUGUGUGGUAUCUACCGCUGAACGUCGUAGUGAAUCUGAAGAAGCCGAGUAAGGUGCGCUUGGUUUGGGAUGCUGCAGCAUCAGUGAACGGAGUCUCUCUUAACUCAGAGUUACUCAAAGGUCCGGAUAUGCUAGUUCCGCUUCCCAGAGUAAUCUGCAAUUUUCGGGAACGGCCAGUAGCAUUCGGUGGUGACAUUCAAGAAAUGUACCAUCAGAUCCGGAUCAGACCUGAGGAUAGGCAAGCGCAACGGUUUUUGUUCCGAGCGAACAGUGAGGAAGCUCCGCAGGUGUACGUUAUGGACGUUGCCACCUUUGGUUCCACGUGUUCGCCCUGCUCAGCUCAAUUUGUGAAGAACUUGAAUGCAGCAGAUUUCUCGGAGAAGUACCCUGAAGCAGUAGAAGCCAUCGUGAAGCGUCACUACGUAGAUGACUACUACAACAGCGUGGAUACUAUCGAAGAAGCGAUCCAGCGAGCCAGCGAAGUGAGGUACAUCCAUUCGUGUGGAGGAUUUCGGAUCAGAAACUGGGUGUCGAACUCUGCUAGAUUUCUCGAACAAAUAGGAGAAAGGAGUGUCGAUUCCGCAGUGCAUUUCAACUGGGACAAGAACACCGAAUACGAGCGUGUGCUAGGCGUUGUUUGGGACCUGGUUGGAGACGAGUUCCGUUUUGCGACCGAAUGGAAAGCAGAGUACAACAAGGUUUUCCUAGAGGAAAAACGCCCGACGAAAAGAAUUGUUCUGAGCAUUGUGAUGGCGCAAUUCGAUCCAGCAGGAUUUCUUGCUCCAGUUACAAUUCUCGGGAAAAUGCUGGUUCAGGAUCUGUGGCGGACAGGCUGCGACUGGGAUGACGCAAUCGAUGAGCUGUCGUUCAGGAAGUGGUUGCGGUGGACCAACAUUCUCGCAGACGUGCCAGUGUUUAAGCUACCUCGAAGCUAUUUCGGAACUGCGAGAUCAGAUGAGGUCGAAGAAGUCCAGCUUCACAUCUUUGCUGAUGCCAGCGAGACGGCGUACGGAUGUGUGGCAUACUUCCGUGCAAUCGUACGGGGUAAGGUGGUGUGUUCGCUAGUGAUGAGUCGAGCGAAGGUAGCACCGUUGAAGCAGCUGUCGAUUCCGCGGCUAGAACUCCUGGCAGCGGUUCUUGCGGCAAGGCUGGCACGAACGAUCGAGCAGAAUCACAACUUCACGAUCAGUAGAGUGGUGUUCUGGAUUGACGCAGAAGUGGUGCUGUCCUGGAUUCGGUCGGAUCAGCGCCGCUACAAGCAAUUUGUUGGUUUUCGCAUUGGCGAAAUUCUUAGUUUGACUAAACUGACAGAUUGGCGAUGGGUUCCGACGAGAUUGAACGUGGCGGAUCUGGUAACCAAAUGGGGUAAAGGUCUGGAGAUACACCCCAACAGCCCGUGGAUACGUGGGCAACAAUUUUUGUACGACAGUGUGGAAAAGUGGCCGAAGAGAGAAUUACCUCCAGCUAACACUACGGAGGAGCUUCGGGUUCACUUGAUGCUGCACGACGUGCAAGUUGCACAGGCUAUCGUGGACGCCAAUCGGUUUUCUAAGUGGACAGUGCUGGUGAGGACAAUGGCGUGCGUAAUCCGGUUCGUGUCGAACUGUAGACGAAAGAGCAAAAAACUGCCGAUUGAGACGCUAAAAGCAACGAGCAGACAGAGCAGAGUACUACAACCGACGGCAGCUGCGUCAGUACGUGUGGCGUUACAGCAAAGUGAGUACGAGAAGGCGGAACUAUGGCUGAUGAAGAUGGCACAGGCGGAGUGUUUCAUCGAUGAGUUGAAGGUACUGGUCAGGAAUAAGGAUCGGCCGGUGAGCCAAUGGCUGUCGAUCGAAAAGUCCAGUGCACUCUACAAACUUACUCCGCUGAUUGACGAAAACGGGCUGAUUCGAAUGGAGGGGAGAGCAGAGAAAGCAGAGUUGCUGUCAUUCGAUCUACGUUUUCCAACGAUCCUGCCACAUCAGCAUAAAAUCACGCAGCUGAUUGUUCAGCAUUACCACGAGAAGAGCGGUCACGGAUAUCGACAGGCGGUGAAGAACGAGCUGAAGCAGUUGUUCUACAUUCCGCAGCUUGACGCAGUAGUCCGGAAGGUGUCGUCGUCUUGCGUAUGGUGUAAGGUCCAUCGAAGUCGGCCUCGAGUUCCACGAAUGGCUCCGCUACCAGUGCAGCGGUUAACACCGAAUCUUCGUCCCUUUAGUUACACAGGUGUGGAUUAUUUGGGCCCAUUUGCUGUUACUGUAGGACGCCGAACGGAGAAGAGAUGGGUCGCAUUGUUCACCUGCUUGGCAACCCGCGCGGUGCACCUGGAGGUGGCUCACGGACUGACUACGCAGUCGUGCUUGAUGGCGAUUCACCGGUUCAUUGGUCGGCGAGGUUGGCCGAUGGAGUUUCUGUCCAACAAUGGGACGAACUUCCUAGGAGCCAGUAAGGAACUGGAAGGAGUUGUUCGAGAAAUAGGAGAAGAUUGUGCGGAUCAGCUGACUAGCGCGAGAACGAAGUGGACGUUCAACCCCCCUUUGGCUCCUCACAUGGGAGGAGUAUGGGAGCGUCUUGUUCGGUCGGUUAAGGAGGCAUUCGUGGCGCUUGAUGAUGGGAGACGCUUGACGGAUGAAAUUUUGCAGACAGUAGUGGUGGAAGCGGAAGACAUGAUCAAUUCUCGCCCGCUAACGUACGUGUCUCAAGAGUGUGACGAAGCGGAGGCACUCACUCCAAACCACCUUUUGCGGGGACUCUCCCCAAAUCAGCCUAGCGUGAAUCUUCCCCCACCUCAUCCAGCAGCAGCACUUCGAGACGCGUUCCAGCGAUCGCAGCAGUUGGCCAGCAUUUUGUGGGAACGUUGGGUCAAGGAGUACAUUCCUUCGCUGAACCAGAGGACAAAGUGGUUUGGUGAGUCGAGACCAUUAAGAAUAGGAGACUUAGUUUAUGUGGUAGAAGGUAGCAACCGGAAGUGCUGGAUCCGCGGGGUGAUAGAGGAGGUCAUCGUGUCCGGUGAUGGACGAAUUCGGCAGGCCUGGGUACGCACCAACAGUGGACGAUAUAGGCGAGCAACAACAAAACUAGCCGUGAUGGAGUUUGGUAACUCUGAACCGGAUGCGAGCUCCGGUACAGGGUUACGGGCCGGGGAAUGUUCUGGCAUCACUGGCAGUUGCACCAUUGCACCUGUGUCGAAUUGACAGAUGCAACAAAUUUGCUGUCAUGCUGACAGACGACGAAGUGCAUCACGAAUGUAGUGCGAGGGAACUGUCAGACAACAUAAGUAAACAAACAACAUAAGAAGGAAAGUAGGAUAGAAAAACACCAAUUUGGAAAGUGAUAGUAGUAGAAUAGUAAAAUACGUUGGAAUAAGAAAUUAGAAGUUGUGAGCAAGGAAAUUAUUCGGAUAGUGGAUAGAUUAAAGAUUAAGCUGUACUAAGAUCCAGAAUACAUACGCGGAGGCAAACACUGGACAAAUACGAACGGUACAGUUGAGAUUAUCAAUUCCGAGAUAAAACGAAGUAAGUGAACGUACAAAUUAAUUACUAAAACCGAUAAAAUGAAAAAUGUGAAUAUUAAAUUGUAGAUAAAUUGCGAUAGACAGCGAUAGAGGAAGGAAAAGAGGAAGCUGUAAAGUAAGGAGAACAAACAAUUGUGAGUAAGACAAAUAAUCGAUUAUUUACGGUAAAUUAAAAUAAAGUUAUUUAGUUUGAUCUGCACAGUAAAAAAAGGCGGAUUUUCAAAAAUCUUGUUUUCGCCUGC